UGGUGGGCAGGUGACAUUAUUGGAGGAUAUGAGAGCUCCAGCUAACCAUCAAGUUCCAUGAAUACCAUUGUUGAAAACGUGAUUUACAGGAAUCACAUUUCUGUGGGAACAGACAAUUCUUCAAAGGGAUUUCAAGACCUAGUGUGGAUCUAUCAUCUUACAAAAGAGACUCUGUCACCUGGAUGCUGUUGUUCGCUAUUCUAUGCUACAACCCAGCAUGUCAUCCAGCUGCAGUUCCAGCCCAUCCUGCAUUGACAGAAUCAGCAACGGCUGCUCGCUCGACUUCUCAGGGGGUUCUCACUCGGCAUCUCUCUCUGCUCUCACUCUCCGCCUGGUUUGGUUGGCUGCCCCUUUCACCCUCCUCUUUCCCUCCUUCACAGCUCACCAGACACAAUUCUUCUCACACACCUUACUUGACUCCUGUUAACCUUCCCUCCCUUCCUCAGGAGGUCCUGCUGCUGCCACAGCACUUUUCUCAGACCCCUCCAGCUCUCUAGAAUUGCCACAGAACCUUCCGGGCUCCCACCAACUGCCAUAGAACCUUCCAGGCUCUCCACCAACUGUCACAGAACCUUCCAGGCCCUCCACCAACUGUCACAGAACCUUCUGGUCCCCCAUCCCCCCACUAUCACAGAACCUUCUCUUGUUAAAGGGGCAUUACCUUACACACUCCUGCUUGCUGUACUGAGGAAAAUACUGUAAUGAGCUGGCAUGUGUACACCCAUGCCCCCCUCCUCUCUAGCAGACAUCAUCAGAACUGCUCAGCUAUGAGUCAUAGGCCCUAUACCUCUAACAGUUAGAGGAGACUCUUCACAAGCCCAAAUGGCAGGAGACGAUGCCUUAGGGGCAGGAGGAUCUCAUUUUUUUCCCGUCUAUAGCUAUGAAGUUGCAAGGGGUUAGUGUGCAGCAUAGUGACAACCAUGAAGUUUCUGUCUGGCCAGAGUCUAAGAUACUAUAGAGACUUGAUCAUUACCAGAAGCAAGCAAAGCGACCUUGAGAAAAUGAGAAACCACCUGAGCGUAUAACUAGAACUCCAACCUUUCCUGGAGAUUUGAAAAGAUCAUUCGCUUUUACCACCAAUCCUGCACUUGCUAGUCUCAGCCCCAACCAGACUUCUCAGCGGUCGAGACUGUUUGAGCUAUUGGCAAACUGAACAGACCCAGGAAACAUUAAACUCACUGGGAUUUGUAGCACAGUUUUUAAACUCAGUCCAUCUGGACAUGUCAGGAGAAGCAACUGAAACUUUGGGAUGUUUCUCUGAACAAAACUUGAAAUCCUUUGAUUUUUGUCUAUCACCAAUUACUGCCCUUCGCAGGUGAUUAAAGUCAUUCAGCCCUAAGGCCAAUUCUAAUGGCCCAGAAAGAUGCUGCCUGAUGUAUGUGUGUCUUUCUAAAAGCCUUUAGGGAGGAGAAGGGAUCAUAAACUCUGGAAAUGAAUUUGUCUAUCAGUUAUUCCUUCUGAGACUGCUUGUGGGUACAAGGGAGAAGCUGGUGGUUUGAUGAUGACAAAGACAGUGCUUUCCUGCUGACCAAAAACCCCUUCACCAUACUGCACCAUUUCCAUGAUAAAUGAUGUUUAAAAAGAGACCUGUUCUUUUCAGUGAGGCAGCAGAUCAAAGGAGGCUCUAUCUGUAAGGCAGAUGGCAAUUACUAGCAAAUAAUCUAUCCACAGCCAUUGCCUGGGAAGUAAUGCUGAGUGUGAUAAGGUGAAUCUGAGGAAUAACUGAGCAAGAUUGAUUUAGGAACAUAAGUAACAAAUACAAACAAGGAUUCCUUGAUAAAAACAGACAAUUAACUUCAUAUACAGAGGAGCUCACUUAAAAGCCAGACCCUGUCAGAGGGCUGGACCUGUGAAAAGAAUGAAGCACCCGGCCUAUGUAUGCACACCCUGAAAUGCAAAAGAACCCUUUCAAAAAGGAAGGCCUAAAAUUUAAAGUGCUAGUCUUUGAGGCACAGCAUCCCAGAGACAGCUGGGUCUCUGACAAGCACAGGGUGUUAAACAAACCAAUCCCCUAGGUACCCACACUUCCCCACAUCUCUGUCUGUAAAACUACAGAAUCACCUGAAAAGUAGAGCCAUGAAAGAGGGAGUUUAGUACUAUGGAAAAGCCUUCAGAUGUAUCCAACUUGGAACACCCAUCACUUUUCACUGCUGUUGAGUUCAAUGAAUUGUCACUUUCAAGAAACUCCGCUCCUCCCAGUCCACCAAAACUGCAGCAGAGUCCAGAAGGUAACAGGUGUAAGUGGGCAAUUAUGGGGUGUACUCUAGGUAUGCAUCAUACCCAUCUUAAUUCAUCAGGGAAGUCCUGCACUCUAACUGCCAACAUUUUUGUGGGAUAUUCUGCCUAAGGUAGAACCCUCAGUAACCAUCUCAGAGGGAAACCUCUUUCACCAGUCACAGAUAAGUGUUUAGAAGACGUUGUUCAGAAUCAUUGCCUAAAAUAGUCUCAUUCCUAUGAUCACUGCCAUUCUUCCAAAACCACCUUUUAGUCUUAAUACAAAAAAAAAGCGCAUCCCACACCCUUAUCCCUCCCACUUCCUGGCCCUGCACAUGUACAAGGGCUAAAAAAACCCGAUAAUCUCAUUACCAAGCUCUAUCCGUCACUGUCAGAUUCUCUAUAACAUUACGGGAAGUGGAUAAGGACUUGAUCAGAUGUCUAAUUAAACUCUAAGAUAUCUGGGCACUUCAGCUGGAUCAGUAACAGCAGGUACAUUCUCACUCCUGCCUAAUGGUCAGGAGAUGCCUUUUUAAAGCCUGCCUGCUGUGUACAGCACCUAUUGGUUUCUGUGUAAAGAAUCAAGUGCUAAUAGCCUUUUGUGACAGUGGUGUUAUUCCUCCAUCACAGACUGAGAAGAGAGCUUUCUUCCACUGUUGCUGUAGGAGGUAGAGGCAGUCACAUGAGGACUGUCACUUUAAGAGCUUAUAGAGCAGCAUGUCAGCAGAAAGUACCGUGAAGAAGUGAAAGAACAUUUCAUUGCCUUAAGAAAAGCACCUGCACAUCCAUUUCAAUAAUAAUAAAUAUUGAUUCAAUAAUAAUAAAUAUUGAGCAAGGACAGAGAAUCUGUAUACACAACAUUUUAAUAAAGAAAACA